rnacentral:rRNA from 1 species
AUUGGACGCUGGCGGCAGGCCUAACACAUGCAAGUCGAGCGGAUGAAGGGAGCUUGCUCCUGGAUUCAGCGGCGGACGGGUGAGUAAUGCCUAGGAAUCUGCCUGGUAGUGGGGGAUAACGUCAGGAAACGGGCGCUAAUACCGCAUACGUCCUGAGGGAGAAAGUGGGGGAUCUUCGGACCUCACGCUAUCAGAUGAGCCUAGGUCGGAUUAGCUAGUUGGUGGGGUAAAGGCCUACCAAGGCGACGAUCCGUAACUGGUCUGAGAGGAUGAUCAGUCACACUGGAACUGAGACACGGUCCAGACUCCUACGGGAGGCAGCAGUGGGGAAUAUUGGACAAUGGGCGAAAGCCUGAUCCAGCCAUGCCGCGUGUGUGAAGAAGGUCUUCGGAUUGUAAAGCACUUUAAGUUGGGAGGAAGGGCAGUAAGUUAAUACCUUGCUGUUUUGACGUUACCAACAGAAUAAGCACCGGCUAACUUCGUG